AGAGUUUGAUCAUGGCUCAGGACGAACGCUGGCGGCGUGCCUAACACAUGCAAGUCGAACGGAGUUAUUAGAUGAAGCUUUGCGAUUCUAAUAACUUAGUGGCGGACGGGUGAGUAACGCGUGGGUAAUCUGCCCAUAAGUGGGGAACAACAGUUGGAAACGACUGCUAAUACCGCAUAAUCUGUGCAAACAGGAAAGGUGGCCUCUGAAUAUGCUGCCGCUUAUGGAUGAGCCCGCGUCUGAUUAGCUAGUUGGUGGGGUAAAGGCCUACCAAGGCGACGAUCAGUAGCCGGCCUGAGAGGGUGAACGGCCACACUGGGACUGAGACACGGCCCAGACUCCUACGGGAGGCAGCAGUGGGGAAUAUUGCGCAAUGGGGGAAACCCUGACGCAGCGACGCCGCGUGAGCGAUGAAGGCCUUAGGGUUGUAAAGCUCUGUUUUAAGGGACGAAUGUUAUGGGGAGUAAUAUGCCCUGUAAAUGACGGUACCUUAAGAGGAAGCCCCGGCUAACUACGUGCCAGCAGCCGCGGUAAGACGUAGGGGGCGAGCGUUGUCCGGAAUUACUGGGCGUAAAGAGCACGUAGGCGGGAACUUAAGUCAGGUGUGAAAGACCGGGGCUCAACUCCGGGGUGGCACUUGAAACUGGGUUUCUUGAGGGCAGGAGAGGAAAGCAGAAUUCCUGGUGUAGCGGUGAAAUGCGUAGAAAUCAGGAGGAAUACCAGUGGCGAAGGCGGCUUUCUGGACUGACCCUGACGCUGAGGUGCGAAAGCGUGGGUAGCAAACAGGAUUAGAUACCCUGGUAGUCCACGCCGUAAACGAUGGAUACUAGGUGUGGGAGGUAUCGACCCCUUCCGUGCCGCAGCUAACGCAAUAAGUAUCCCGCCUGGGGAGUACGGUCGCAAGGCUGAAACUCAAAUGAAUUGACGG
rnacentral:rRNA from 1 species